rnacentral:rRNA from 1 species
UACGAAGGGUGCAAACGUUGCUCGGAAUUAUUGGGCGUAAAGCGCACGUAGGCGGCUAUCUAAGUCGGAUGUGAAAUCCCUCGGCUUAACCAAGGAAGUGCACCCGAAACUGGAUAGCUUGAGUACAGAAGAGGAUCGCGGAAUUCCCGGUGUAGAGGUGAAAUUCGUAGAUAUUCGCAAGAACACCAGUGGCGAAGGCGGCUGACUGGUCCGGUUCUGACGCUGAGGCGCGAAAGCGUGGGGAGCAAACAGG